rnacentral:rRNA from 1 species
CACUUGUCUGAUGAUUCAUAAUAACUUUUCGAAGCGCACGCCUAGUGCAGGCGCUGGUUCAUUCAAAUUUCUGCCCUAUCAACUUUCGAUGGUACGGUAGUGGCCUACCAUGGUAGCAACGGGUAACGGGGAAUUAGGGUUCGAUUCCGGAGAGGGAGCCUGAGGAACGGCUACCACAUCCAAGGAAGGCAGCAGGCGCGCAAAUUACCCAAUCCUGACACAGGGAGGUAGUGACAAUAAAUAACGAUACAGGGCCUAUGGUCUUGUAAUCGGAAUGAGAACAAUUUAAACCACUUAUCGAGGAACAAUUGGAGGGCAAGUCUGGUGCCAGCAGCCGCGGUAAUUCCAGCUCCAAUAGCGUAUGUUAAAGUUGUUGCAGUUAAAAAGCUCGUAGUUGAACCUCGCCGCCGGCUCCGGGUCCCCCUCACGGGGUGUACUCGUCGCUUGCGGCUUUGCUCUACUAGUGUGUGCGUUCGCGUGCACUCAUAGUGGAGCGUUUACUGUGAGAAAAUUAGAGUGUUCAAAGCAGGCGUUUCGCUCGAAUACGUUAGCAUGGAAUAAUAGAAUAGGACGUUAUGGUUCUAUUUUGUUGGUUUCUAGGACCAUCGUAAUGAUUAAUAGGGACGGUCGGGGGCAUCAGUAUUCAGUUGUCAGAGGUGAAAUUCUUGGAUUUACUGAAGACUAGCUACUGCGAAAGCAUUUGUCAAGGACGUUUUCAUUAAUCAAGAACGAAAGUUAGGGGAUCGAAGAUGAUCAGAUACCGUCGUAGUCUUAACCAUAAACUAUGCCGACUAGGGAUCGGGCGGUGCCUUUUAUUGGCCCACUCAGCACCUUACGAGAAAUCAAAGUUUUUGGGUUCUGGGGGGAGUAUGGUCGCAAGGCUGAAACUUAAAGGAAUUGACGGAAGGGCACCACCAGGAGUGGAGCCUGCGGCUUAAUUUGACUCAACACGGGGAAACUCACCAGGUCCAGACACAAUAAGGAUUGACAGAUUGAGAGCUCUUUCUUGAUUUUGUGGGUGGUGGUGCAUGGCCGUUCUUAGUUGGUGGAGUGAUUUGUCUGCUUAAUUGCGAUAACGAACGAGACCUUAGCCCUUAAAUAGAGUUGCUGGCAUUUGCUGGUAAAUCUUCUUAUGGGGACUAUCGAUUUCAAGUCGAUGGAAGUUUGAGGCAAUAACAGGUCUGUGAUGCCCUUAGACGUUCUGGGCCGCACGCGCGCUACACUGACGGAGCCAGCGAGCUUUUCCUUAGCCGAGAGGUUUGGGUAAUCUUGUGAAACUCCGUCGUGCUGGGGAUAGAGCAUUGUAAUUAUUGCUCUUCAACGAGGAAUUCCUAGUAAGCGCAAGUCAUCGAGCUUGCGUUGAUUACGUCCCUGCCCUUUGUACACACCGCCCGUCGCUAGUACCGAUUGAAUGGCUUAAGUGAGGCCUCCGGAUUGGUUAAAGAAGGGGGCAACUCAUCUGACCCAAUUG